CAGAAGGCAUGUGCGCACUCUUCAAGCUUGUGAGGCAGUGAUGAAUGGGGUAGUGAGGUUUUUCCACAAGCUGAACAUAGAGAGUGUAUGUACCACUUAGUUGAAAAUUUCAAAAAGAGGUACAGUGGUGAGGUCUUCAAUAAACAUUUGUGGCAAUCUGCAUAUUCUUGAAACCCUUACAUAUUUGAAAAGCACUAUCAAGCAAUGGCUGAAUUCAAACUAGAGGCUAUGAAAUAUCUUCAGGAGACUCACUAGGUCUACCAGAUCUGCUGGAACUGGAUCCAAUGACCCUCGUCAUCUCCAAGGUGUGCACCCUGCGCCUCUUCUUGAAGACACUGGAUGCCCUGAAGCCAUGGAACAUACAGUGCAGACACCAAGAAAGAAAUGUGGCGUCAAGAAAAAAACUUACACCAAGAAGGGCUCCAGUUGAGGUAGUCAACCCA